rnacentral:rRNA from 1 species
UACAAAGGGGGCUAGCGUUGUUCGGAAUUACUGGGCGUAAAGCGCACGUAGGCGGAAUGUUAAGUCAGGGGUGAAAUCCCGGGGCUCAACCCCGGAACUGCCUUUGAUACUGGCAUUCUCGAGUCCGGAAGAGGUGAGUGGAAUUCCGAGUGUAGAGGUGAAAUUCGUAGAUAUUCGGAAGAACACCAGUGGCGAAGGCGGCUCACUGGCCCGGUACUGACGCUGAGGUGCGAAAGCGUGGGGAGCAAACAGG